rnacentral:rRNA from 1 species
CAAGCCGCGGUAAUACGGAGGGGGCUAGCGUUGUUCGGAAUUACUGGGCGUAAAGCGCACGUAGGCGGCUUGGUAAGUUAGAGGUGAAAGCCCGGAGCUCAACUCCGGAAUUGCCUUUAAGACUGCCGAGCUAGCAGGUGAGAGAGGUAAGUGGAAUUCCGAGUGUAGAGGCGAAAUUCGUAGAUAUUCGGAAGAACACCAGUGGCGAAGGCGGCUUACUGGCUCAUACUGGACGCUGAGGUGCGAAAGCGUGGGGAGCAAACAGGAUUAGAUACCCCCGUAGUCCCUGUCUCUUAUACAC